UGAAAUAAGUCGUAACAUAGUAGGUGUACUGGAAGGUGUCUCUAGAAGACAGGGUAAAGCUUUUA
rnacentral:tRNA from 1 species